rnacentral:rRNA from 1 species
UACGUAGGGGGGCUAGCGUUGUCCGGAAUCAUUGGGCGUAAAGCGCGUGUAGGCGGUCCGGUAAGUCCGCUGUGAAAGUCGGGGGCUCAACCCUCGAAUGCCGGUGGAUACUGUCGGGCUAGAGUGCGGAAGAGGCGAGUGGAAUUCCUGGUGUAGCGGUGAAAUGCGCAGAUAUCAGGAGGAACACCAAUUGCGAAGGCAGCUCGCUGGGACGUAACUGACGCUGAGACGCGAAAGCGUGGGGAGCAAACAGG